UUACGACCACAUCGCGUUGGAAGACCGGUUUCCGUACGAUCACCGAAGUUAAGGAACGUUGAGCCUGAUUAGUACCUAGAAUGGUUGCCGUUUGGGAAUAUUAGGGUC